CCUGCAUUUACACAAACUUGCUAAAACAUUAAAAACACAAUAAAAAUCACUCAUUGAUAAAACGUCCAAAGACAGCCCAACAAUCUGGUUGCUGAAAUUAAACUUCAAACUACAAAUAUUUUACAUUUCUACAAAGUAAUACACAAU